rnacentral:rRNA from 1 species
GUUAAUUGAUUAUGACGUGCUUGCACUGAAUGAGAUUUUAACACGAAGUGAGUGGCGGACGGGUGAGUAACACGUGGGUAACCUGCCCAGAAGCAGGGGAUAACACCUGGAAACAGAUGCUAAUACCGUAUAACAGAGAAAACCGCCUGGUUUUCUUUUAAAAGAUGGCUCUGCUAUCACUUCUGGAUGGACCCGCGGCGCAUUAGCUAGUUGGUGAGGUAACGGCUCACCAAGGCGAUGAUGCGUAGCCGACCUGAGAGGGUAAUCGGCCACAUUGGGACUGAGACACGGCCCAGACUCCUACGGGAGGCAGCAGUAGGGAAUCUUCCACAAUGGACGCAAGUCUGAUGGAGCAACGCCGCGUGAGUGAAGAAGGGUUUCGGCUCGUAAAGCUCUGUUGUUAAAGAAGAACGUGGGUGAGAGUAACUGUUCACCCAGUGACGGUAUUUAACCAGAAAGCCACGGCUAACUACGUGCCAGCAGCCGCGGUAAUACGUAGGUGGCAAGCGUUAUCCGGAUUUAUUGGGCGUAAAGCGAGCGCAGGCGGUCUUUUAAGUCUAAUGUGAAAGCCUUCGGCUCAACCGAAGAAGUGCAUUGGAAACUGGGAGACUUGAGUGCAGAAGAGGACAGUGGAACUCCAUGUGUAGCGGUGAAAUGCGUAGAUAUAUGGAAGAACACCAGUGGCGAAGGCGGCUGUCUGGUCUGUAACUGACGCUGAGGCUCGAAAGCAUGGGUAGCGAACAGGAUUAGAUACCCUGGUAGUCCAUGCCGUAAACGAUGAUUACUAAGUGUUGGAGGGUUUCCGCCCUUCAGUGCUGCAGCUAACGCAUUAAGUAAUCCGCCUGGGGAGUACGACCGCAAGGUUGAAACUCAAAAGAAUUGACGGGGGCCCGCACAAGCGGUGGAGCAUGUGGUUUAAUUCGAAGCUACGCGAAGAACCUUACCAGGUCUUGACAUCUUCUGCCAACCUAAGAGAUUAGGCGUUCCCUUCGGGGACAGAAUGACAGGUGGUGCAUGGUUGUCGUCAGCUCGUGUCGUGAGAUGUUGGGUUAAGUCCCGCAACGAGCGCAACCCUUAUUACUAGUUGCCAGCAUUCAGUUGGGCACUCUAGUGAGACUGCCGGUGACAAACCGGAGGAAGGUGGGGACGACGUCAAAUCAUCAUGCCCCUUAUGACCUGGGCUACACACGUGCUACAAUGGAUGGUACAACGAGUUGCGAAACCGCGAGGUUUAGCUAAUCUCUUAAAACCAUUCUCAGUUCGGACUGUAGGCUGCAACUCGCCUACACGAAGUCGGAAUCGCUAGUAAUCGCGGAUCAGCAUGCCGCGGUGAAUACGUUCCCGGGCCUUGUACACACCGCCCGUCACACCAUGAGAGUUUGUAACACCCAAAGCCGGUGGGGUAA